rnacentral:rRNA from 1 species
CUACGGGAGGCUCCAGUGGGGAAUAUCGGACAAUGGGCGCAAGCCUGAUCCAGCAAUGCCGCGUGAGUGAAGACGGCCUUAGGGUUGUAAAACUCUUUCGCUAGGGAAGAUAAUGACUGUACCUAGUAAAGAAGUCCCGGCUAACUCCGUGCCAGCAGCCGCGGUAAUACGGAGGGGACUAGCGUUGUUCGGAAUUACUGGGCGUAAAGAGUUCGUAGGCGGACUGACAAGUUAGAGGUGAAAUCCCAGGGCUCAACCCUGGAACUGCCUUUAAAACUGUCAGUCUAGAGACCGGAAGAGGUUAGGGGAAUACCUAGUGUAGAGGUGAAAUUCGUAGAUAUUAGGUGGAACACCAGUGGCGAAGGCGCCUAACUGGUCCGGUACUGACGCUGAGGAACGAAAGCGUGGGGAGCAAACAGGAUUAGAUACCCGAGUAGUC